rnacentral:rRNA from 1 species
AUGGUUGCCAAGAUACGAACUAAUAGUGCAAUUGAUCCAGAGUGGAAAUUUGACCAAGGGCGUGCACGUAGAGCACUGGCAAAGUUGAUUGUGCUACAUGAAUUACCUUUCACUUUUGUUGAAUAUCCUGGCUUUAGGUCCUUUGUUAAGACCUUGAAUCCAUGGUUCAACGUGGUAUGCAGAGAAACAAUUAAGCAAGAUUGCAUUGAUGCAUAUGAUAGACACAAAAAAGAAAUUCAAGCACUUUUUAGCAAUCUAAGUUCUCGAGUAUCAUUAACGGGUGACAUGUGGACAUCCAAUCAGAAGCUGGGUUAUUUAUGCAUAACUGCCCACUUUAUUGAUGGCUCAUGGACUCUACAAAACAGAAUAAUCAGAUUU